AUUGAACGCUGGCGGCAUGCCUAACACAUGCAAGUCGAGCGGAGCGGCGGACGGGUGAGUAAGGCCUAGGAAUCUGCCCGGUAGCGGGGGCUAACGUCCGGAACCGGACGCUAAUACCGCUUACUAUCAGAAUGGCCUCGGUCGGAUUAGCUAGUGGGUGGGGUAAAGGCCCACCAAGGCGACGAUCCGUAACUGGUUUGAGAGUAAGAUCAGGCACACUGGAACUGAGACACGGUCCAGACUCCUACGGGAGGCAGCAGUGGGGAAUAUUGGACAAUGGGGGAAAGCCUGAUCCAGCCAUGCCGCGUGUGUGAAGAAGGUCUUCGGGUUGUAAAGCACUUUAGGUAGGGAAGCGGUACCAACAGAAUAAGCACCGGCUAACUUCGUGCCAGCAGCCGCGGUAAUAC
rnacentral:rRNA from 1 species